rnacentral:rRNA from 1 species
UACGUAGGCGGAAAAUUAAGUCAGUAGUGAAAUCCUGCAGCUUAACUGUAGAACUGUUAUUGAUACUGAUUUUCUUGAAUACAGUAGAGGUAGGCGGAAUAUGUAAUGUAGCGGUGAAAUGCUUAGAUAUUACAUAGAACACCGAUUGCGAAGGCAGCUUACUAUACUGUGAUUGACGCUGAGGCACGAAAGCGUGGGGAGCGAACAGGAUUAGAUACCCUGGUAGUCC